rnacentral:rRNA from 1 species
CCCUUAGAUGUCCUGGGCUGCACGCGCGCUACACUGACGAACUCAACGAGCUUAUCACCUUGGCAGAGAUGUCUGGGUAAUCUUUUGAAAGUUCGUCGUGCUGGGGAUAGAUGAUUGUAAUUAUUCGUCUUGAACGAGGAAUUCCUAGUAAGUGUGAGUCAUCAGCUUGCGUCGAUUACGUCCCUGCCCUUUGUACACACCGCCCGUCGCUCCUACCGAUUGGGUGUGCUGGUGAAAUGUUCGGAUCGGCCGUUUGUCGCGGUUUCCGCGUCAUGUGGCUGAGAAGUUCAUUAAACCCUCCCACCUAGAGGAAGGAGAAGUCGUAACA